UUCUUUCUGGGUACACCAAGAAAAUUUAAAAGCCGUGCGGGAGGGUGCGAACUGAGAGCAUUCUUCAAACAAACGCGACCUUUUCUGUUUCUUGUACUCCUUUUCUCAACCCAGCCAGAAAACCCAGACAAGUUUAUUUACACACACACCCGCACCCGCACACACACGCAGGGAGAGUGGCGGAAACGCCCUCUUCCCAUCCCUUCCGAACAAUUAUCUCCGCGAGCAGAAGAAAAUCACCAGCGGCCCUGGGUGCCGGGCGCGGGGAGGGCGGGCGGCGGGCGGCGGGGAGACGAGCAUUUGUGCAGGGGAGCGGGCCCGCGUGCGCCUCUUGCUCCCCGUGUAAUUCGCAGCCAAUCAUCAGUAGGUGUCCACGGCCCCGCGUCCUCCUCACCUCGGCGCCAAUCACCCCCCCGNCACCAUCUCCUCCUCCUUCUCUCUGCAACAAGAAAAAAAAAGCCAUUUACAGGGGGUGAUGUGCAACUAAUUAAAGGCAGACUAGCAGCGUCUGCAAAUUCUAAGGCUCCCCAAAUAAAAAGAGACUGUUGUAACAGUUGGAGGAUAAUGGUAAGGAAGAAGCCUGGGAAUUCACCGUCUGUGGAAAUGCGCCCCGGAGAGGAGUAAAGCAGUCCUCACCUUGCUCUCCCCAUCCGGACCCACUUCCCCUUCCCGCCUCGGCCCCCACCCCAACACCACCAUCACCACCCCC
rnacentral:lncRNA from 1 species